UACGGAGGGUGCAAGCAUUAAUCGGAAUUAUUGGGCGUAAAGGGCGCGUAGGCUGGGGGACAAGUCAGAUGUGAAAUACCAAAGCUCAACUUUGGUGCUGCAUUUGAAACUGUCUUUCUGUGAGGGUUGACGGGGAAAAUGGAAUUCCACGUGUAGCGGUGAAAUGCGUAGAUAUGUGGAAGAACACCAGUGGCGAAAGCGGUUUUCCAGUUAAUACCUGACGCUGAGGCGCGAGAGCAAGGGGAGCAAACAGG
rnacentral:rRNA from 1 species